UUAAGUUCAGCGGGUAGUCCUACCUGAUUUGAGGUCAAAGGUUCAAAAGUUGUCUACAGAGAGACGGUUGUAAGCAGAACAAGACAGAGAGCAGCCCAGGUGUAGAUAAUUAUCACACCAGUGACAGACCGCAAACGGUUCCGCUAAUGCAUUUCAGAGGAGCUGACUACAACAGCCAGCAGACCCCCAACAUCCAAGCC
rnacentral:misc_RNA from 1 species